rnacentral:rRNA from 1 species
UACGGGGGGGGCAAGCGUUGUUCGGAAUUACUGGGCGUAAAGGGCUCGUAGGCGGCCAACUAAGUCAGACGUGAAAUCCCUCGGCUUAACCGGGGAACUGCGUCUGAUACUGGAUGGCUAGAGGUUGGGAGAGGGAUGCGGAAUUCCAGGUGUAGCGGUGAAAUGCGUAGAUAUCUGGAGGAACACCGGUGGCGAAGGCGGCAUCCUGGACCAAUUCUGACGCUGAGGAGCGAGAGCCAGGGGAGCAAACGGG